rnacentral:rRNA from 2 species
UGUGACCUCAAAUCAGGUAGGAUUACCCGCUGAACUUAAGCAUAUCAAUAAGCGGAGGAAAAGAAACUAACAAGGAUUCCCCUAGUAACUGCGAGUGAAGCGGGAAAAGCUCAAAUUUAAAAUCUGGCAGUCUUUGGCUGUCCGAGUUGUAAUCUAGAGAAGUGCUAUCCGCGCUGGACCGUGUACAAGUCUCCUGGAAUGGAGCGUCAUAGAGGGUGAGAAUCCCGUCUUUGACACGGACUGCCAGGGCUUUGUGAUGUGCUCUCAAAGAGUCGAGUUGUUUGGGAAUGCAGCUCAAAAUGGGUGGUAAAUUCCAUCUAAAGCUAAAUAUUGGCGAGAGACCGAUAGCGAACAAGUACCGUGAGGGAAAGAUGAAAAGAACUUUGGAAAGAGAGUUAAACAGUACGUGAAAUUGCUGAAAGGGAAACGCUUGAAGUCAGUCGCGUUGUCCAGGGAUCAACCUUGCUUUUGCUUGGUGCACUUUCUGGUUGACGGGUCAGCAUCAAUUUUGACCAUUGGAAAAAGAUUAGGGGAAUGUGGCAUCUUAGGAUGUGUUAUAGCCCUUGGUUGCAUACAAUGGUUGGGAUUGAGGAACUCAGCACGCCGCAAGGCCGGG